rnacentral:snRNA from 1 species
UUGCUCGCUUCGGCAGCACAUAGACUCAAAUUGGAAUAAUACAGAGAAGAUUAGUGUGGCUCCCGCUGAAGGAUGACAUGCAAAACUGUGAGGUAUUACAUAUUUAA